rnacentral:lncRNA from 1 species
AUAUUAAAAGCAUUAAAAUCUGAAGUCCGAGUUUUACUAUAAACCCAGAUGAUCUGGCUGUUCUCUUGUAGAUGACGUCUCUACCAACCAUCAAUGCCCUGGCAUGAACGAGGUCCUGGAAAUGAUCAGAAAUGGGGUUUCCUUAAGACGUGUUAUACAGGUACAAAAGGGGACUUUCAAAGACGUCUGCGAUCAAGAGGAGCAACUGGAAGUCAGCAGCAGCUCUGCAGAGCCUGAACUUGAAACCAUCCUUAAAAGGAGAAAAGAAAGUGUGGAUCACUUUAUCUCGGAUGGCUCUUUUGAAGAGGAUUCUGCAGAGGACACUGGUCAGCGCAGGCUGGACAUGCCGGCCAAUAGCUCCCAAGUCAGGAAGAAUCCUGGAAAAGAGAACCCUGGCUACGUCUGCCAGGAUCAGGCGGAGAGCCAGGAACAUGGGAACUCGUGGAGGGAAUCGGUGGGAAAGCACCUUGAAUCCAACAGUGAGGCUGGAGACGAGGGCAGCACCAGCAGCACCCUCCCUGUCACGUCUCCACUGGACGUUGGUCAAGUGGAUGACCUCUCCUGUCCUCCUGAUCCAGAAGGCCAUGCUGAACCAUGGUUCGAAGAUGUGGCUUCAAUGGACCCCAGUAAUAUGGACCCUGAGACAGAGGAUCAUGUCAUCCUUGGAGCGAUUCUUAGCGAUUUGAUGACUGCCUUGAAGAACCAGGAUCUUUCAGACGAUGGGACUGCUUUAAAGGAUCAGGAUGACACGGAUACUAAUGGUGCACUGAUGGCUCCCCCAGCACGAUCUAGUGGACAGCAUGAUCAAGGUUGUAUCUCUUCUGACACUGCAAAGGUAUUGAAAGGAGACUUCAUAGAGGAGAGUGUAGAUAGUCCACAAGAAGCAAGCCUGGUGCCCAGAGAUCACCAGCCUCUUAAAGAAAGAGCCAGCUUUGUUGUAGGUCAAGGAGAUGUGGGUUCUCCUCCGCAAACCACCCUUCCUGCUCAUGUGAAAAACCAGAAUGUGAAGAGACCAUGUAACUCACCUCACUGUUAUCUGCCAGGCACUGAUCUCCUUCCAGCUCUUGAAGAUGAGAGAGAUUCCACUGACUCGGACAUACCUGUGUUCUUUUGCUAAGGAGUAAUCCUGUCAGAGUUUGUAAUUGAUCCAUGUUGACCUAUGUAGUGCAUAAAUUGGCCAUUGUAUUUUACUUUUGAUUGCAUUGUUCAGCAUAUUUUGUUUUAUUAAAUAGAGAGGGUUGGAAACCUUCAGUUUUUUUUAAUCCAGUAUUCAGUUUCAUGGAAGUAUUUUUUCCUUGGUGCAUUUGUGGUUUUAAUUGACAAGUUUGCUUUAAAUAAAAUAUUAAAUGAGGCAUUAUUUGAAAUUGUUGAUAUUGUUGUGAAAUGCAUCAAUUGUGUAACAUAAGCACAGAGAACGUAGACCUAAAAUGUAUGGUAAAUUAGUGAGCCUGUCAAAUCAGUAUGAACAGUGAUCAUGUACUAAAUGUAGAACAUGAUGAAACAUUUCUCUUCUCAAUUUAAAGUACUU